CCCCCGUCCCAUUUUAAGUGUGUUCAAUGUUUGUUCGUCCGUCUUAUUUAAAAUAAUUUUCUGAUUAGUAUUUUUAUUGUUGUUAGAUGAUAAAAAUAAAUAGUACUUUAUAUGUGACUUAUUUUUUUAUAUUUUUUUUCAAAUAAUACAAAUGGUCAAACGUUGGACACAGAAAAAACACAUGGG
rnacentral:pre_miRNA from 1 species